UACGGAGGGAGCUAGCGUUGUUCGGAAUUACUGGGCGUAAAGCGCACGUAGGCGGCUUUGUAAGUUAGAGGUGAAAGCCCGGGGCUCAACUCCGGAAUUGCCUUUAAGACUGCAUCGCUAGAAUUGUGGAGAGGUAAGUGGAAUUCCGAGUGUAGAGGUGAAAUUCGUAGAUAUUCGGAAGAACACCAGUGGCGAAGGCGGCGACCUGGACAGAUAUUGACGCUGAGGUGCGAAAGCGUGGGGAGCAAACAGG
rnacentral:rRNA from 1 species